GAAAUUGUGUUGACGCAGUCUCCAGGCACCCUGUCUUUGUCUCCAGGGGAAAGAGCCACCCUCUCCUGCAGGGCCAGUCAGAGUGUUAGCAGCAGCUACUUAGCCUGGUACCAGCAGAAACCUGGCCAGGCUCCCAGGCUCCUCAUCUAUGGUGCAUCCAGCAGGGCCACUGGCAUCCCAGACAGGUUCAGUGGCAGUGGGUCUGGGACAGACUUCACUCUCACCAUCAGCAGACUGGAGCCUGAAGAUUUUGCAGUGUAUUACUGUCAGCAGUAUGGUAGCUCACCUAUCACCUUCGGCCAAGGGACACGACUGGAGAUUAAACG
rnacentral:lncRNA from 1 species